CGGACGGGUGAGUAACGCGUGGGUAACCUGCCUCACACAGGGGGAGUAACAGUUGGAAACGGCUGCUAAUACCGCAUAAGCGCACAGUACCGCAUGGUACAGUGUGAAAAACUACCGGUGGUGUGAGAUGGACCCGCGUCUGAUUAGCUAGUUGGCAGGGCAACGGCCUACCAAGGCGACGAUCAGUAGCCGACCUGAGAGGGUGACCGGCCACAUUGGGACUGAGACACGGCCCAAACUCCUACGGGAGGCAGCAUG
rnacentral:rRNA from 1 species